ensembl:lncRNA
GUCUUUUUGUAAGAAUAUCAAAAAUAAAGCAUUCUUGAUGUAUUUAAAAUCAUUAUCAUCUGGGUGACUAUUAAAUUUAUGUUGUCAAUUUCCAGGGUUAUUAGUUUUAACUUUUUGACAGAUUUAACCAUGAAACAGUUUUAAUAUUAUCUUUAUUAAAAAGACAUCUGAAUUCCUGAUAACCCAAAUUUAAUGACUAGAGCUCAGAGAUAAAUUCUGAGCUAUGUCCACAAGUGACUGACUGCUGUUAGAAUUAGACAGUAAAAAUAUUUGAACCAUUUUUGUUUUUUGUUUUGGCUUUUGGCUUAUAAUAAAAUUUACAGAAAACAUAGAUAGAACCUUUUAACAAGUAUACAGAAUUAAUUUGGGGGGAUAUAAAUAAAACUUUUAAACAGAAUUAACCUGGUGUGGUUAAAAUUUUUAAUCUAUAUUAUUAUUAUAAAUUUAUUAUUUGUAGAUAUGAGAGCCCAUAGUAAACAGUUUACAGUGUUCUCUGACACUUUUACAACUUUCUGCUGACAAAUCUGUGCCUUUUUAGCUGAGGCACGGUACCCCAGGGUCUCUAGUUUUUCCAAAAGGGCCCAGUACCUUGUUUACAGUCCUGUUCAGUCCGGGCUGCCAGCAGGAGGUCAUUUACAUAUUGCAGAAGGAUCAGGGUAGGGUGCUGCAUCCAGAAUUAAUGAAAGGGCCCACCCAGGGUGGAGGGUUGUGGGCCAGGUCUUCCCAGGUUAUGAUGUAGGGAACCUGGUCGGGGUGUCCGUGGGGUCCAGAAUUGAACAUCUUUUCUUUUACCUGUAAAAUAAUCUUAAGAUUAAAAGAACCACCCAGAGGCCAGCCAACAUUAAAUGUUGGCCACUCGGAACUGCAGAAAGUUUGUCAUUUUUUCUUCUUGACAUGUCCAGGGACUGGUUGUUGGCUUGGUCCCAAACGUCUCCCCAGUGGUCUAGAGUCAAACUUAAGGGGGUCGUUAGUUGUCCCAUGGUGGUCAGAUGGUGAAAAACAAAAAGACAAACAUUGAGACAGACAGUCAGGCCAAACAACAGAGACUAGUCGGCUAGAUUGUCGCCAAGCAGAAACCAAAGAUUCAGACGGGGGCAGAGACUUUCGUCGACUGCUCCCAGGGACGAGGGUUGCCUGCUUGCUCUCUCCCAUUCAGAUCACCCAUGGAGCGUCCUCCAGGGUCGGACUCAGAAGGGAACGACUCAUCAGUCUACCUCGUGAGUCUCUACAGAGCCUGCAUAGCCUAUACAGGGCUUCCGGAUGGACAGACAAACAGAACAUGAACAUAAAUGUGCCGGCCCGACUUACCUCCUCUCGCUUGUGGUAAUGAGUCUGGGGGUCUCCUCAAAUUCCUGGCUCCUGGCUGGCUUGCCAAAUGAAAGAUCCCCAGACUCCUAAAGGCCUCAGAAACCAGACCAAGAGCUGCAAAAGCAAGAGGGUUUAUUGAACGAAUGCGCAUUCAGGUGUCAGCAAUAUCGGGGAAGCUGCACACACAGCAAGGGUUACAGGCUCUUUUUAUAGGAAAAAACCGCAGAUCAGCAUACACGCAAGGGGCACAAAGUGAUUGAUUACAAAGUAUGAUCUCAUGUUAGAGUGGUCACCCAGGUGUGACUUGCUUUUUUACAAAGGAAAAACCACAGAAUGUACCCUGGAAAGUCCUUGAUUGUCUGUUGGCCAGCCAGGUGUGACCCAAAGAGGAUUGUCUUGGCGAUUGUCCCUGUCUAAACCAUAGGAUGUGCCCAGGGUUGGGGUCAACUUCCUUGUAAUGGGCCAAGGCCCGUGGGAAACUUUUUCUCUCUGUGAACUAAAAUCUUUCAAAACUUU